rnacentral:rRNA from 1 species
CAGCAGCCACGGGAAUACGGAGGGUGCAAGCGUUAAUCGGAAUUACUGGGCGUAAAGCGCACGCAGGCGGUCUGACAAGUCAGAUGUGAAAUCCCCGGGCUUAACCUGGGAACUGCAUUUGAAACUGUCAGGCUGGAGUCUUGUAGAGGGGGGUAGAAUUCCAGGUGUAGCGGUGAAAUGCGUAGAGAUCUGGAGGAAUACCGGUGGCGAAGGCGGCCCCCUGGACAAAGACUGACGCUCAGGUGCGAAAGCGUGGGGAGCAAACAGGAUUAGAUACCCCUGUAGUCCCUGUCUCUUAUAU